rnacentral:rRNA from 1 species
UACGUAGGGGGCAAGCGUUGUCCGGAAUCAUUGGGCGUAAAGAGCGUGUAGGCGGCUCGGUAAGUCCGCUGUGAAAGUCCAGGGCUCAACCCUGGAAAGCCGGUGGAAACUGUCGAGCUCGAGUCCGGAAGAGGCGAGUGGAAUUCCUGGUGUAGCGGUAAAAUGCGCAGAUAUCAGGAGGAACACCAAUGGCGAAGGCAGCUCGCUGGGACGGCACUGACGCUGAGACGCGAAAGCGUGGGGAGCAAACAGG